rnacentral:rRNA from 1 species
UACGUAGGUCCCGAGCGUUGUCCGGAUUUAUUGGGCGUAAAGCGAGCGCAGGUGGUUUAUUAAGUCUGGUGUAAAAGGCAGUGGCUCAACCAUUGUAUGCAUUGGAAACUGGUAGACUUGAGUGCAGGAGAGGAGAGUGGAAUUCCAUGUGUGGCGGUGAAAUGCGUAGAUAUAUGGAGGAACACCGGUGGCGAAAGCGGCUCUCUGGCCUGUAACUGACACCGAGGCUCGAAAGCGUGGGGAGCAAACAGG